rnacentral:rRNA from 1 species
UGACGUCAAAUCAGCACGGCCCUUAUGUCCAGGGCUACACACGUGUUACAAUGGCCGGUCAAAGGGCAGCUACUUCGCGAGAAGAUGCUAAUCUCGAAAGCCGGUCUCAGUUCGGAUCGAAGUCUGCAACCCGACUUCGUGAAGCUGGAUUCGCUAGUAAUCGCGCAUCAGCCAUGGCCGCGGUCCGAAUACGUUCCGGGCCUU